rnacentral:ncRNA from 1 species
UACCUGGUUGAUCCUGCCAGUAGUCAUAUGCUUGUCUCAAAGAUUAAGCCAUGCAAGUCUAAGUACGAGCUCUCGUACAGUGAAACUGCGAAUGGCUCAUUAAAUCAGUUAUGGUUCAUUUGAUCGUACAGUUUACUUGGAUAACUGUGGUAAUUCUAGAGCUAAUACAUGCGAGAAGCGCCGACCUCGCGGGAGGCGUGCAUUUAUCAGACCAAAAACCGGCCGCGUCUUCGGGCGCGUUCGCCUUGGUGACUCUGGAUAACUUUGCGGAUCGCACGGUCUAGCACCGGCGACGGAUCAUUCAAGUGUCUGCCCUAUCAACUUUCGUCGGUACGGUAUUUGCCUACCGAGGUUCUUACGGGUGACGGGAAUCAGGGUUCGAUUCCGGAGAGGGAGCCUGAGAAACGGCUACCACAUCCAAGGAAGGCAGCAGGCGCGCAAAUUACCCAUUCCCGACGCGGGGAGGUAGUGACGAAAAAUAACAAUGCAGGACUCGUUCGAGGCCCUGUCAUUGGAAUGAGUACACUUUAAAAGCUUUAACGAGUAUCCAUUGGAGGGCAAGUCUGGUGCCUUUUGCCGCGGUAAUUCCAUUUUUUUGGGGGUAUAUUUAAGUUGUUGCGGUUAAAAAGCUCGUAUUUGGAUUUUGGGCGCAGGCGGCCGGUCCGUCGCAAGGCGUGUACUGGACGUCCUGGCCUUCCCUCCGGUUCUCCGCCGGUGCUCUUGACUGAGUGUCGGCGGCGGCCGGAACGUUUACUUUGAAAAAAUUAGAGUGUUCAAAGCAGGCUCUCGAGCCUGGAUAAUGGUGCAUGGAAUAAUGGAAUAGGACCUCGGUUCUAUUUUGUUGGUUUUCGGAGCGCGAGGUAAUGAUUUAGAGGGACAGACGGGGGCAUUCGUCCUGUGCCGUUAGAGGUGAAAUUCUUGGAUCGGCGCCCGACGAACGACUGCGAAAGCCUUUGCCCAGAUUGUUUUCUUUUUUC